AGAGUUUGAUCCUGGCUCAGGAUGAACGCUAGCUACAGGCUUAACACAUGCAAGUCGAGGGGCAGCAUGGUCUUAGCUUGCUAAGGCCGAUGGCGACCGGCGCACGGGUGAGUAACACGUAUCCAACCUGCCGUCUACUCUUGGACAGCCUUCUGAAAGGAAGAUUAAUACAAGAUGGCAUCAUGAGUCCGCAUGUUCACAUGAUUAAAGGUAUUCCGGUAGACGAUGGGGAUGCGUUCCAUUAGAUAGUAGGCGGGGUAACGGCCCACCUAGUCUUCGAUGGAUAGGGGUUCUGAGAGGAAGGUCCCCCACAUUGGAACUGAGACACGGUCCAAACUCCUACGGGAGGCAGCAGUGAGGAAUAUUGGUCAAUGGGCGAGAGCCUGAACCAGCCAAGUAGCGUGAAGGAUGACUGCCCUAUGGGUUGUAAACUUCUUUUAUAAAGGAAUAAAGUCGGGUAUGGAUACCCGUUUGCAUGUACUUUAUGAAUAAGGAUCGGCUAACUCCGUGCCAGCAGCCGCGGUAAUACGGAGGAUCCGAGCGUUAUCCGGAUUUAUUGGGUUUAAAGGGAGCGUAGAUGGAUGUUUAAGUCAGUUGUGAAAGUUUGCGGCUCAACCGUAAAAUUGCAGUUGAUACUGGAUAUCUUGAGUGCAGUUGAGGCAGGCGGAAUUCGUGGUGUAGCGGUGAAAUGCUUAGAUAUCACGAAGAACUCCGAUUGCGAAGGCAGCCUGCUAAGCUGCAACUGACAUUGAGGCUCGAAAGUGUGGGUAUCAAACAGGAUUAGAUACCCUGGUAGUCCACACGGUAAACGAUGAAUACUCGCUGUUUGCGAUAUACUGCAAGCGGCCAAGCGAAAGCGUUAAGUAUUCCACCUGGGGAGUACGCCGGCAACGGUGAAACUCAAAGGAAUUGACGGGGGCCCGCACAAGCGGAGGAACAUGUG
rnacentral:rRNA from 1 species